rnacentral:misc_RNA from 1 species
GAACGCACCUUGCGCCCUUUGGCUAUUCUGAAGGGCAUGCCUGUUUGAGUAUCAUGAAAUCUUCAAAAUAAAUCUUUUGUUCACUCGAUUGAUUUUAUUUUGGACUUGGAGGCUUGCAGAUUCACGUCUGCUCCUCUUAAAUUUAUUAGCUGGAUCUCGGUGAGCUCGGUUCCACUCGGCGUGAUAAGUAUCACUCGCUGAGGACACUGUAAAAGGUGGCCGGGAUUGCGGAUGAACCGCUUCUAAUAGUCCAUUGACUUGGACAAUAAAUACUUUAUGAUAUGAUCUCAAAUCAGGUAGGACUACCCGCUGAACUUAAG